rnacentral:misc_RNA from 1 species
GAUAAUUGUAUUUCAUAAGUAAGCAAACCUUACAUGAGAUAAGCUUAAAAUUACAGGCUAUAAACAAAGUUUGAAACAAUUAAAGAAAAUCCAGCCUAUACCCAAUCCGAAACCCAUAACUCAGAAAAGGGCCAACAAUCCGAAACCACUAUCACCCAACCCCAUAUUAUAAACCUAACUACUGCAUAAAUAAACAUGCAGAAGGCAGCCACGGAUCAAGGUAAGCGCCGCCGUCAAGUAUAUUGAGCAAAUUCGGAGACUUUUGAAGACCGAAAAAUGCAGGAGGCCAUGCAAGAUGCUAAGACCUCAAAGACAAUCCUCAAAAACAGUGAGUCGAGCCUUGAGUCUAGGAGACCAAAAGAACGCACGAGUCAUUGGGUGCCGGAGAACCACAAACAGAAAGGGCGACACAGAGCUCUUUAGCUUUAAUGGCUGUUAAGAGUCCGCUGCUGCUCAGGUGGGAGAAAGACUCCCGAGUUAUCGUCAAUCAAUAUAAAUUAAAUCCUCCCUAAUCCCAGCACCAAGAACUGUAGUACAAAAAAGAACCCGAAACCGUAUUAUCAUGAGAACGAGACUCGCCAACCCCACCUACAACACAAGGAAAGCUGGAAUGGCAAUGCUGGGAAGACGCACCAGUCAGCAGAUCAAACAUCAAUCCCUCGUGUUGUAGCCCAGAUCUACAUCCAACAAACCAACAAAACAAUAUUUACAACCCACCCGAUGUGGGGAAGGAAACUCACUACCGGGCAGAAGAAGGAGGAGGCCUCCUCUGCCUGAGUGGGGCAAAGGAGGCCGCUAACUCAGCAAAAAUAAUGAGUCAGAGAAAAGGAAAAAUACUGAGAAAGGGAAGAGACGAUAUUUAAAAUUUAAUUAUUUUUU